AGAACACUUCAGAAUAAUCUCUGCAGUUUGUCCAAAACGAUGAUUAAAGUCGACAAAAACAGCAAAAAACGCCGUUAAAGAAGAAACAACAGGUACGUCUUCGUGUCGGUGCUGAAAAGGUUGGAAUUUAGGUUCUUUAAAGUCGUAAAUGAGUGAAAAUAUGUGGGUAAUAUCACUAAUAAAACAUAAAUAUGGAUUAAUAUCUGAUCGGUUUUUCCUUAUCCCAAACGGUGAUAUUCAGAAUAAUUAGAUCUGGGCUGGAUUAUCUUAAAGAAAUUCUUACAACAAACUUCUUUAAUGUGUGAAUCCCUAAUUUUAUAUGUGGAAAAAAAAGCGGGAAAAGGGUUUUUAAGGCCUUUUCAACAGGACCAGAUACUGAUCCAGAACUCCAAUAUCCAGGCUUCUCAGAAACUGACUGUGUUAUUAGAUAGGUAGAGGAUUGGGUAGAGGUAAUGAUCGAUAAAUACAGAAUGGAGAAGCUGACUUUCUCAUCAAGAUUAAAAACAGAGACUUAAAAAACUACAGGAAAAACUGGGUUUAUUAUGUGUCUCAUUUAAAAGCAGACUUUUUACACUAAAGACAUUGUGUAUUGUUGAUUAUUGAUCCCCUUGGUUCAGGCUACAAACUUGUUAAUUGUUCAUUUGUUUAUUUUGUUUACCCUCCAACAGGAGAAAAGGGACAAUGAAAGAGAGGAGUGAAAAUAAGGACAUGAGUGAAAAGUGUUUGAUUUUACUUAAGAAGUUUAUGUCUAACUAUGUCUCUGCUCUGCGAUGGAAAAAUAU